rnacentral:rRNA from 11 species
GGUCAUCCCGACUUACCAAACCGAUGCAAACUCUGAAUACCAGUAAGUUCAAUCACGGGAGACAGACAGCGGGUGCUAACGUCCGUUGUCAAGAGGGCAACAACCCAGACCACCAGCUAAGGUCCCUAAUAUCAGUUCAGUGGGAAACGAUGUGGGAAGGCUUAGACAGCUAGGAGGUUGGCUUAGAAGCAGCCACCCUUUAAAGAUAGCGUAACAGCUCACUGGUCUAAUUUAAGUUGUCCUGCGGCGAAGAUGUAACGGGGCUCAAGCCAUGAGCCGAAGCUGAGGAUGCACGUAAGUGCGUGGUAGCGGAGCGUAGUG